rnacentral:snRNA from 1 species
AAAUACAUAUCUUUUUUU